rnacentral:rRNA from 1 species
GAUGAACGCUGGCGGCGUGCCUAAUACAUGCAAGUCGAGCGAACAGACGAGGAGCUUGCUCCUUCGACGUUAGCGGCGGACGGGUGAGUAACACGUAGGUAACCUACCUAUAAGACUGGGAUAACUUCGGGAAACCGGAGCUAAUACCGGAUAAUAUUUCGAACCGCAUGGUUCGAUAGUGAAAGAUGGCUUUGCUAUCACUUAUAGAUGGACCUGCGCCGUAUUAGCUAGUUGGUAAGGUAACGGCUUACCAAGGCAACGAUACGUAGCCGACCUGAGAGGGUGAUCGGCCACACUGGAACUGAGCCACGGUCCAGACUCCUACGGGAGGCAGCAGUCGGGAAUCUUCCGCAAUGGGCGAAAGCCUGACGGAGCAACGCCGCGUGAGUGAUGAAGGUCUUCGGAUCGUAAAACUCUGUUAUUAGGGAAGAACAAACGUGUAAGUAACUGUGCACGUCUUGACGGUACCUAAUCAGAAAGCCACGGCUAACUACGUG